rnacentral:rRNA from 1 species
CCUACGAGCGGCAGCAGUCGAGAAUCAUUCACAAUGGGGGAAACCCUGAUGGUGCGACGCCGCGUGGGGGAAUGAAGGUCUUCGGAUUGUAAACCCCUGUCAUGUGGGAGCAAAUUAAAAAGAUAGUACCACAAGAGGAAGAGACGGCUAACUCUGUGCCAGCAGCCGCGGUAAUACAGAGGUCUCAAGCGUUGUUCGGAAUCACGGGGCGUAAAGCGUGCGUAGGCUGUUUCGUAAGUCGUGUGUGAAAGGCGCGGGCUCAACCCGCGGACGGCACAUGAUACUGCGAGACUAGAGUAAUGGAGGGGGAACCGGAAUUCUCGGUGUAGCAGUGAAAUGCGUAGAUAUCGAGAGGAACACUCGUGGCGAAGGCGGGUUCCUGGAAAUUAACUGACGCUGAGGCACGAAGGCCAGGGGAGCGAAAGGGAUUAGAUACCCUUGUAGUC